GAUUCUUUUCCUCCAGGUGGCCUCAGUGGUGGUGGGGGGAGCUGGGCCUCCCCAGAGGGCCACGUGGAUGUGGGCAGCUGCCCCCAGGGGAGCGCAGGGGCUGGGGAGAGGGGCAAGAUCAUUUCUACCCCCCUCAGUUGCCCUUUUGGCCAAAUGCAGCUGCCCCAUUAGGCACCCGCAGACUCCUGAGGGGAGAGCAAGUGGGUGCCAGUAAGCCCUUAGGUCCACACCAGGAGGUCAGGGGUUGGACCCCUGAUGAAUUCUUAGCCAAACCGGGUCACUGGGAACAGCUGUCCACACAAACUGGUCUGGAAGAGGCCCCUGAGUUUCUUUCCUACUUCUCCCAGCCUGCUAACAUCACACAGGCUGGGCCUCUUCCCCCAGGGCCUCCCAGGACUGGGCAGGACAGGGGCAGAAGAGUAAGGUCAUGGAGUCAAGCUGGGCCUAAGGGACUGGAACUCAAAUGUCUUCAGGGGCCAGGCAGCUGCGGUGCCAGAGGCGCCUUUGGGCCUCCCUCCAGGGCUCGCCUUCCUCAGGCCUCCUCUCCAUGGAGAAACUGCAGCCUGGAGUCUGACCACAUCUGGAGGGGUCUGCUGAGCUGGGGGGCCCACAGCCUGGCCCUGCCUCCCCUGUGCUGAGAUGCUGCGGAGCUGGCACUGGCAAUGCCCCAGCCUCUAGUGCCUCGGUUUCCUCAUCUGGACAGGCCGAAUGGGAAGUGACAGCAUGGGCUCCGGAGUCAGACGGACUUGGGUUCAAACAGUGGGCCCUCCACUCACUCUGUGGCUGUGUGAGCUCAGUGUCUCGACUAGAAAAUGGAGACAAUGCUUCUAUCUUAAUGCUCUGUUGCUGCGUAAUAAACUACCGCACGCUUAGUGGCUUCAGGCAGCA